CGAAUUGAUAAACUGCACAGAGUUUUGGGUCGACUGAUAAGCCGAAUAGAUGAAAUACACAGCGACUGAUCGGCUGAAAGAGCCAAAUGUUUUUAUAUAUUAAUAAAACAGAGUGUGCCCGAAGGGUAUACAGACUCUGAAAAUAUAGUUUACAAUAGAGUGUGUCCGUGGGGUAUACAGACUCUGAAAAUAUAGUUUACAACAGAGUGUGCCCGUGGGGCAUGCAGACUCUAGAGAUCUAACUUAAAAACUACUCCUAGGAAAGCAGUAAAUGCGGGAAAGAAAAAAUAUGAAAAUGCGGUGGUCUUCUCGUUUAGGGUAUGUUUGUUUCAACGUAAGUAGACUUGGGGUGGAAGUGGACUUUGGGUUGAAGAGGAGUUGGGGUGAAAAUUAGUUCACUUCUGCUGUUUGUUUCUAACUGUGGAAGUGCAGUUCUGCGAGUUCUGUUGUUUGUUUGGUAGGAAGUAGAUGACGUAAAAAGUGUAGCUCUCCACCCCCGGUAUACUUACCUCCAAAGUGAUAUCAUUGUCUAUUUUGUAACUUAUAGUGAAUAAUAUAUUAUAAUAAAUAAAAAUUAAUAUAAUUAUAUAUGUAUAUAAUUAUAUAUAUGUAUAAUUAUAAAAUAAAAUUUUUAAAAAAUAUAUUAUUUGUUUGCAUAUAAAUUAUAAUAAUGCAAUAAAUAAAAUUCUAAAGUUAAAAAAUUAUUAACAUUUAACAAAUUCAUUUUUCAUCAUUUUCUAAAUAUACAAAUUAAACAAAAAAUAUAUUAAAGUUUACCUAAUCAAAUUUGAUCAUAUUUUAGAAGAGGUAAUCCUAACACAUCAAUCCAUUCUUGCAUUUUUUUUCACUUCACCGGAAUUGACUUCGCCCCAUGGGAGGGCGAAGUCAAGUUCACUAGUUUAGGUGAACUGGACUUUCGGGCGUAAUAAAAUUACGGUGAACCAAACAGCGGAAGUGGUCAGUUUUCACCGAAAAUCACU
rnacentral:lncRNA from 1 species